UACGUAGGGGGCGAGCGUUUGUCCGGAUUCAUUGGGCGUAAAGCGCGCGCAGGCGGCCUGGCAAGUCGGCCGUGAAAUCUCCGGGCUCAACUCGGAGGGGUCGGGCGAGACUGCGAGGCUCGAGGCGGGUAGAGGGCAGUGGAAUUCCGGGUGUAGUGGUGGAAUGCGUAGAGCUCCGGAGGAACACCAGUGGCGAAGGCGAGCUCGCUGGGACGGUACUGACGCUGAGACGCGAAAGCGUGGGGAGCAAACAGG
rnacentral:rRNA from 1 species